GCCUUCUUGGCUCAGUUGGCAGAGCAUCUGCCUAGUAAGCAGAAGGUUGCUGGUUGAAUUCCGGCAGAAGGCA
rfam:Basidiobolus meristosporus CBS 931.73 K493scaffold_1042, whole genome shotgun sequence.